ensembl:lncRNA
CUAUGGUUCUCAGCUGCCCAGGCUGGGCUGGAGCUUGUGAUCCUCCUGCCUCAGCCUCCCAGGUGCUGGAUUUCAAGCGUGCACCACCACGCCCCGGCUUGCUGCCUUUCUCUUUGUUCUUUACAAAUGUUAAACUGACUUUGCACUCCUGGGAUACAACCCACUUGACCACUGCGAGCUGUCCUCUCAUGUGUUGCUGGAUUCUGUUUGCUAUUAAUGGUUGGAGGGUUUUGCUGCUGUAUUCAUGAGAGGGAUUAGAGGCCUCCGCCUCACACCACCCGAGCCCUCUGGUCGAGGCCGCCUGCAUGCUGAGGUGAGAUCACCACCACUCCAGGAAGUGCACCCCCAGUCCCUGGUGCCUGUCCCUGUCCUCCUGCAAUGAAGGUGAUGGAAUGUCAGCAGAAGGCUUUAAAGCAGAGCUUCAUAGCUGGAAGAGGGAGCCACAGGCAGGCGACAUCCGAGGCCCCACUUGCAUGGCCACCUGAGCCCAGAGGCUGUGCACGAAGCCAGGACCGAGGCUCUGGGAGCCGAGCUUCGAGUGGCCUCUUGCUCCCCGC